GUGGGGAAUAUUGGACAAUGGGCGAAAGCCUGAUCCAGCCAUGCCGCGUGUGUGAAGAAGGUCUUCGGAUUGUAAAGCACUUUAAGUUGGGAGGAAGGGCAGUAAGUUAAUACCUUGCUGUUUUGACGUUACCGACAGAAUAAGCACCGGCUAACUUCGUGCCAGCAGCCGCGGUAAUACGAAGGGUGCAAGCGUUAAUCGGAAUUACUGGGCGUAAAGCGCGCGUAGGUGGUUUUGUAAGUUGGGGGUGAAAUCCCCGGGCUCAACCUGGGAACUGCCUCCAAAAAUGCAUGACUAGAGUACGGUAGAGGGUAGUGGAAUUUCCUGUGUAGCGGUGAAAUGCGUAGAUAUAGGAAGGAACACCAGUGGCGAAGGCGACUACCUGGACUGAUACUGACACUGAGGUGCGAAAGCGUGGGGAGCAAACAGGAUUAGAAACCCCUGUAGUCC
rnacentral:rRNA from 1 species